GAGUGCGCCAAGUCCAUUUCUGUGUCCAUUUUGUACAAAAACGACUCCAACUCAGUCCGACACUCAUCAGAUAUGUCAACCAGUCACUACUACUGUAGCCAAUCCUAUCCAAACCACUGAAACACUACAUCCUCCCCUACUACAAAAAGUUUUGUCCUCGAAACUUAAAUUCAUACCUCAAUCCGGAGCAUCAAACAAGUAGA
rnacentral:lncRNA from 1 species